rnacentral:ribozyme from 1 species
UUUUUUUUUUUUUUUUUUUUCUACUUUUUCUUCUGUUUUUCGUGU